UCUAGAUCUGAGAUGCUAGCAAGCCAAAGGGGGAGGAAAGAAGAAAAGAGGAAGUUGAGGCACGGCAGGAAGACAGCCAGAGGAGCCAGAAAGUGCAAGAAUGUUUGUGGGGGUGCUUGACAGGGUAUCUCUGAAGGAAGGACUGCCAUCCAACAUUCCAGAAGGAGCCUUGGGUCCUGAGGACCACUUUGCUUCCAGCCUGGUUUCCCAGUGAUGGGCUGUGUCCUUGGGUAAGUUACACAGUCUCUCUCGGCCAGGUUCUCUCAGCCUCCUUCCGCACCUGCCUUCACCGGUCCCUGGAAACAGGUGUAUAGAUUUCAUCUCAUCAAACAGCCGCCCUAGCUUCAUAUAUACUGACAAGUGAAAGAAGUCCAUUUGAAAAGGCUACAUCACCAUACUGACUAAAUGGCAUUCUGGGAAAGGACCCUGGAGAUAAUCAACUCUCAGCUGCUGCUGGAGGGCGGAGUCAGGGACAAGCAGUUUCCUGGAGGAGGCUCAAAGAUCCCCAGCCGUUGGCCCCCUUCUCCUCAGCUUCCUGUUGGGUUCCAGAGAGACAGUUUGGCGGUUUCUGCAGCUGAACCAAACCAGUUGGCCUGGUGGUAGGGGGGCCACUCAAGAGGGAGUGGGUUAGGGGGAGGCUGUUAGCUUGGCAAGCAUGGAAACAAACUGACUACUCAAGGCCUGCAGCCUUUGAGUGCUCGCCCUGGCUUCCUGAAGGCUGCAUCUGAACCAGGCAGCUGAGACUUGGGACCUCAUCACCUCCCACCGUGGACAGACUUUCCUACUGGCCACUUGUCUAGCCCAGCCCCAGCUUCCCAGGUGCCUGGGUUCACAAAGUACAGCCCUGAGCUCACACUUCCUCCCACCCCACCCACCAGCCCUCACCUUUUACUUCUUUCAGCCUUGAUGCCCCCUCCCACUCAGAGAUUAGACCCCAGCUCCAGACCAACCCCAGGUUCCACUGGUCAAGGACAGCACUUCUUACCCUGAAGAAGCUCUGAGCUGAGGUUGAAGACAGAGUCUUGGGGCUAAGUCUCCGUGUCAGGGAGCAUGUGGUAAUACUCAGGUGUCAGGGAGCAAUGUCCUGUGGUCAGAAUUGAGAGGAUGAAUAAAGUUAUUUGGAAAAGA